rnacentral:rRNA from 1 species
CGGACCGGUAAGUCAGUGGUGAAAGCCUACAGCUUAACUGUAGAACUGCCGUUGAUACUGUCGGUCUUGAGUGUGGUUGAGGUAGCUGGAAUGAGUAGUGUAGCGGUGAAAUGCAUAGAUAUUACUCAGAACACCAAUUGCGAAGGCAGGUUACCAAGUCACAACUGACGCUGAUGGACGAAAGCGUGGGGAGCGAACAGGAUUAGAUACCCUGGUAGUCCACGCUGUAAACGAUGCUAACUCGUUUUUGGGCUUUCGGGCUCAGAGACCAAGCGAAAGUGAUAAGUUAGCCACCUGGGGAGUACGUUCGCAAGAAUGAAACUCAAAGGAAUUGACGGGGGCCCGCACAAGCGGUGGAUUAUGUGGUUUAAUUCGAUGAUACGCGAGGAACCUUACCAAGACUUAAAUGGGAAUUGACAGAUUUAGAAAUAGAUCCUCCUUCGGGCAAUUUUCAAGGUGCUGCAUGGUUGUCGUCAGCUCGUGCCGUGAGGUGUUAGGUUAAGUCCUGCAACGAGCGCAACCCCUGUCACUAGUUGCUAACAUUCAGUNUGAGGACUCUANGUGAGACUGCCUACGCAAGUAGAGAGGAAGGUGGGGAUGACGUCAAAUCAUCACGGCCCUUACGUCUUGGGCCACACACGUAAUACAAUGGCCGGUACAGAGGGCAGCUACACAGUGAUGUGAUGCGAAUCUCGAAAGCCGGUCUCAGUUCGGAUUGGAGUCUGCAACUCGACUCUAUGAAGCUGGAAUCG